AAAAAUUAAAUAGCUACUGAAAGUAAACAGCAGUAGCCGUAAGGAUUUGAAUCGGUAUGGCGGGGACUAGAUUACCACAAUGGGAAUUAAAAAUGUUUAGCAACAAUUUGAUUACCAAGAUUGUAAUGAAAAUGUACAAAAUCAGUCGGAAUGAAAUCGACUUGACCGAUUAUUCCCGCAACGAGGUGCGGUGGCAACGGCGGGUGGCGGGCGGAGUGCCACCGACCUGCGGCGAACGAGUACGUGAUAUCGGCGCUCGUGCCCCACAACAAACUGCUUACUGGACGUGUUACGUAGGCGUCUGUGCUGCGAUGUACCAACAUAAACACAGAUAUGAAGUAAGUUCUGGCGUGGUCACCUCAUCGUGCAUCGGGGCGACCCGGCCUCGGAUCGUCUUCAACUUACUCCGUACCCUGCUUAAACAAAUUAUGCCACUUGUUUUUUAUGUGUCUAUUGUUUACAAACCAUUGCUUUUCCUGGGCAAGAGUUCUUGUAAGCUAAUAUAAUAUCUCAUUCAGCAUGGUU